AGUUUCUCAACGUUUGGAGAUAGCAGUGGUCUGGUUUAGUGGGAGGGAUUUUGGGGUAUUAUUACAGCUCUCUCGUUGAUGUUUCUGACAAUUUGUGAGUUGUCACUCAGUCCUACAGGACGAUAUGCUCCUUCCACUGCUGUUAUGGACGACUUUGCUCUGUCACAUCUCCGACGGCCAGCCUUCCUCUCAAAGACACAAGAGGACAGUUUGGGGACCUUCUAUGCAAAUAGUUGACCAGUUUAUUGACCCGUCUCCGACGUAAGUACACAACUGUCUUC